AGAGUUUGAUCCUGGCUCAGAACGAACGCUGGCGGCAGGCUUAACACAUGCAAGUUGAACGGGAUUUGUGUGGUGCUUGCACCAUAUAAUGAGAGUAGCGCACUGGUGAGUAACACGUGGGAACGUACCUUUUGGUGGGGGACAACAUCUGGAAACGGAUGCUAAUACCGCAUAAGACCUGAGGGUGAAAGAUUUAUCGCCGAAAGAACGGCCCGCGGAAGAUUAGGCAGUUGGUGGGGUAAAGGCCUACCAAACCUACGAUCUAUAGCUGGUCUGAGAGGACGAUCAGCCACACUGGAACUGAGACACGGUCCAGACUCCUACGGGAGGCAGCAGUGAGGAAUAUUGGGCAAUGGAGGCAACUCUGACCCAGCCAUGCCGCGUGAGUGAAGAAGGUUUUCGGAUUGUAAAGCUCUUUCGGAUGUGACGAUGAUGACGGUAGCAUCUAAAGAAGCCCCGGCUAACUUCGUGCCAGCAGCCGCGGUAAUACGAAGGGGGCGAGCGUUGUUCGGAAUUACUGGGCGUAAAGGGUGUGUAGGCGGUUAUGUAAGAUAGCGGUGAAAUCCCGGGGCUUAACCUCGGAAUAGCCGUUAUAACUAUGUAGCUAGAGUUAUGGAGAGGAUAGCGGAAUACCCAGUGUAGAGGUGAAAUUCGUAGAUAUUGGGUAGAACACCGGUGGCGAAGGCGGCUAUCUGGCCAUAUACUGACGCUGAGGCACGAAAGCAUGGGGAUCAAACAGGAUUAGAUACCCUGGUAGUCCAUGCUGUAAACGAUGAAUGCUGGUUGUCGGCUUUAGGGUCGGUGACGAAGUUAACGCGAUAAGCAUUCCGCCUGGGGAGUACGGUCGCAAGAUUAAAACUCAAAGGAAUUGACGGGGACCCGCACAAGCGGUGGAGCAUGUGGUUUAAUUCGAUGCAACGCGAAGAACCUUACCAACUCUUGACA
rnacentral:rRNA from 1 species